rnacentral:lncRNA from 1 species
UAUGAGAGUCAAGUUAACUUAGAUAUCAGAGAGUCUCUCACUGGAUCCUCUUUGAUAAAAAAACUUCCUUUAUUUGUGGUGUUUCAAGUCAAAAGACGGCUUCAAAACCACCAUCUGAGCAUUCUUUUUUCUUCAAAGGCAUGCAACAACUUUCAAAUCAAUCUCUCCAACUGGACCGUUCUAGUGACUUAGUUAGCUUGAUAUUAGAGUCAAGCCCAAUCUUCAAUAGCAACCAUAUUAUAAGCUUUUUAUUGUUGUUAUAAAAUUUUUCGAGAGAG